UGCAAGUCGAACGCUUCUUUUUCCACCGAGAGCUUGCUCCACCGGAAAAAGAGGAGUGGCGAACGGGUGAGUAACACGUGGGUAACCUGCCCAUCAGAAGGGGAUAACACUUGGAAACAGGUGCUAAUACCGUAUAACAAUCAAAACCGCAUGGUUUUGAUUUGAAAGGCGCUUUCGGGUGUCGCUGAUGGAUGGACCCGCGGUGCAUUAGCUAGUUGGUGAGGUAACGGCUCACCAAGGCCACGAUGCAUAGCCGACCUGAGAGGGUGAUCGGCCACAUUGGGACUGAGACACGGCCCAAACUCCUACGGGAGGCAGCAGUAGGGAAUCUUCGGCAAUGGACGAAAGUCUGACCGAGCAACGCCGCGUGAGUGAAGAAGGUUUUCGGAUCGUAAAACUCUGUUGUUAGAGAAGAACAAGGAUGAGAGUAACUGUUCAUCCCUUGACGGUAUCUAACCAGAAAGCCACGGCUAACUACGUGCCAGCAGCCGCGGUAAUACGUAGGUGGCAAGCGUUGUCCGGAUUUAUUGGGCGUAAAGCGAGCGCAGGCGGUUUCUUAAGUCUGAUGUGAAAGCCCCCGGCUCAACCGGGGAGGGUCAUUGGAAACUGGGAGACUUGAGUGCAGAAGAGGAGAGUGGAUUCCAUGUGUAGCGGUGAAAUGCGUAGAUAUAUGGAGGAACACCAGUGGCGAAGGCGGCUCUCUGGU
rnacentral:rRNA from 1 species